GGCCUGUCCUGGGGACCUGGCGAGGCCCGGCCUCUGCCAGCCAAGCCUGCUGGGGACGACCGAGGUAGCCCGGGCUCGGCUUAGGAAGGCAGCGGGACUCGAGGCCUUGGGGUCCGAGUCCGAACUCGCUCCUCUAGCGCCGGGCGGGGAGCGAGUGGGAGAGCGGCCGCGAAGCUCCAGUGUUGAAAACGCACCCCUCCCAGCUUUUUGCAAGGCCUACUUGGGGGCGGAGAGACAAGCAAGCUGUCAUGUUAUAAGCAGCCCUUUGAGGGGUCCAUGUGAUGUCAAGGAAUGAAGUCUCUAGCCAACAUUUAAUGAGGAACUGAGGCCCACCAACAACCUUGAGUGAGCUUGGAAGUAGCUCCUUCAGCAUCAGUUGGGUGUCGAGAUGACUACUGACAGCUUGACUGCAACUUCAUGAGAGUCUUCUGGACCAGAACCACUCAGUUAAGUGGCUCCCAGAUUCCUGAUCCUCAGAAACUCUGAGAAAUAAUGAAUGUUGGUUGUUUUAAAAUGGUAAAUUUUGAGGUAUUAUGUUAUGUGGCAAUAGAUAGCUAAUAUAUAAAUUAUUUGAAUCAAACAAUACGUUAAAUUAAAGCUCAGAAGAAUAAACAUCUGUAAUUCCUUAAUUUGUUUUCCCUUCUAUUCUACAGAAUAGAAUUUUACAGAUGAACCUUGUAGUUACUUGUGCAAUAAGAGACAGUAUGUUGUAUUGAUUAAGUGCAGAGCCUCUGGAUGUAUGAUAGAAGAAAGACCAAUAUUCAAUUGCUUUCUUCUUCAAUUCCAAGCUUGUGAGCUUGAGCAAAUUUUAAAAGUGUUUUAAGCCUCAGUUUCCUGGGAUGGUAGUGCUUAGCUCGAGCUCCUAGCAUAUAUUAACUACAAACUAAAUAUUAGCUAUAAUUAUUAGUUUUACUUUGAUUAUUGACUCUAAAUAAAUACCUUAAGAACUUUGUGUUCUCCACAGAUUUGGAUAUGUCUGGACGUUAUGUAGGCUGGAGUAGUCAGCAAUUACUUGCCUGAGGAAGGGAAGGCCUCCUCCUUUAAGAAAAGAAUAGGCUGGGUGCGGUGGCUCAUACUUGUAAUCCCAGCAUUUUGGGAGGCUGAGGAGGGUGGAUCACCUGAGGUCAGGAGUUUGAGACCAGCCUAAGGAACAUGGUGAAACCCUGUCUCUACUAAAAAUACAAAAAUUAGCCAAUUGUGGCACGCGCCUGUAGUCCCGGCUACUCAGGAGGCUGAGGUGAGAGGAUUGCCUGAGCCUGGGAGGUGGAGGUUGCAGUGAGCCGAGAUCGCGCCACUGCACUCCAGCCUGGGCAACAGAGUAAGACUCCGUCUCAAAAAAAAAAAAAAGAAAGAAAGAAAAGAGUAGAAGGCCCAAGCUUAGUCCAAUAUUAUAGCUUCAGCAUCAGAGUAGAGAAUGAUUCAGAGCAUCUGUCCAGUGUCUGCUGUAGAUCCCUCAAAUCCGUGUUUGGACGCUUCUGGUAAGGGGUGUAUGGCAGAUGCACCCGACAGAUGCACUUGGCAGCAAUAACUUAUGCAUACCUGAAGAAUGACCCUAUGGUCUAAGAAGAAUGUGUGUUCAGAGCUCCAAGCUAAGGAAUCUGGGAGUGGCCAACCCAGAUAUUUCAUUUCUUAUCUAUGACGAACUUCUGAACUGCUCCCACCCCCAGCCCAUCCUGUAGAAUGCAGGCCCUACGAGGCGAUCAAAGCCCUUUGUUUUAGGUUAAAUGAAGGUUGCCUGGUGGAGGUUGCUAGGGGAAAGGUGUUAAGUAAAAAUGUUAUAUAAACUGCAUGGUGUUUUUUGUUUGUUUUUGUUUUUUUGAGACAGAGUUUUUGCUCUUGUU
rnacentral:lncRNA from 1 species